ensembl:lncRNA
AAAAUUUAUUUUUUGACCUUCUAGACAGUGCUAAUGAAGUGAAUUCAGAUAUAUUUCAACUCAGGGCAUUGUUCUUAAUCCUUUUUUUUUCUGUUUCCCUUGUAGGCCAUGGACAUUGCUUUCCUCCUUCUAGGCUGACCAUGAAAAACUGUUUUGUUUUCAUGUGAUCCUGCUGUGAAUUCUGCUGUUGCAACGGUCUUCUGCAAGCAAAAAUUCAUCCCACACAUUGACAUCAGUAUUCAGAAGGCCUGACAGAUUUAAGAAGCAAACCCUAACGAGAAGGCUCUUUAGUAGAACAAAAACAUGGCCAAGGGGAAGAUCUCUUCUCCAUGUGGUAAGCACCUGCUUGUUAUUUACUAAUAUUUUAUGGUGGCACACCAUAUUGUUUAGUUCAGAUAAACCACUAAAAUAUGCAAAAUGUAUUCUGAAAACAUCAGUCUGCAACAACAAACAAACAAACUAAUCAAUCUAUAUUUAACCACAUUUCCAUUUCAGUGAGCUUUUAAGGUCUCCACAGACGGCUGUUGUUUAAAGAUGUAUAUUCACCGUCUAACCCCUUCACACACAUGCAUAAAUAUACUGACGUUUACAUACUUAUAACUGUAUGACACAGAGUUGAUAUAGAUUUAUUUUCCCAAAUGCCUCCAAAAGUCGUGGAAAGCAGGGGGCUGGUUGAGUAACGGCGUAAUAAUCCUGGUACAGUUGAAGUAAGGAAUCAUGCAUCAAAGCACUUGCCAUCUGUAGGAGGUCUUGAGUCCCUCAAGAUGCAUUAGGUCUCUGUAAUGGGUUCGGCAAGGUGCAGCAAUAAUGGACGGAUUCUAGAAACAAAGUUAUUGAUUGUCAUACAGCCAGAGCUGUGCAAAAUUCAGAACUGAAGAAUUGGCUCCUUUUCAGUUCAUAACUGUGUCUCUGAAUUGAAUUGGCCACACCUCACAGAAAGCUGAAUUAGAGUGAGAGGAAGGGGAAUUAAUUGAAUUGCAAUUCAAUGAAAUUCAACCCAGGUAAUGCAUUCUGAGAAAUAAAGUGUUCCACAAAAGUUAAUUUAUUAAAAAA